rnacentral:misc_RNA from 1 species
UCUCCGUUGGUGAACCAGCGGAGGGAUCAUUACCGAGUGCAAACUCAUAACCCUUUGUGAACCUAUGUCUGUUGCUUCGGCGGCUCGCUCUCGGGCGAGCCCGCCGGUAAUAUCAGUAUCUCUGUUUGAACCCGACGAUACUUCUGAGUGUUCUUAGCGAACAGUUAAAACUUUUAACAACGGAUCUCUUGGCUCUA